rnacentral:rRNA from 1 species
AUGCAAGUCGAACGCGAAAGUCCCCUUCGGGGGACAAGUAGAGUGGCGCACGGGUGAGUAACACGUAGGUAAUCUACCUUCGGGUGGGGAAUAACAACCGGAAACGGUUGCUAAUACCGCAUAAUGCAGCGGCACCUAAUGGUGACAGUUGUUAAAGCGGGGGAUCGAAAGAUCUCGCGCCUGAAGAGGAGCCUGCGGCGGAUUAGCUAGUUGGUAGGGUAACGGCCUACCAAGGCGACGAUCCGUAGCCGGCCUGAGAGGGCGGUCGGCCACACUGACACUGACAUACGGGUCAGACUCCUACGGGAGGCAGCAGUCGGGAAUUUUGGGCAAUGGGCGAAAGCCUGACCCAGCAACGCCGCGUGAAGGAUGAAAUCCCUCGGGAUGUAAACUUCGCAAGAACGGGAAGAAUAAGUCUAUGUUAAUACCAUAGGCGAUGACGGUACCGUUUGUAAGCUCCGGCUAACUCCGUGCCAGCAGCCGCGGUAAUACGGGGGGAGCAAGCGUUGUUCGGAUUUACUGGGCGUAAAGGGCGCGUAGGCGGCCACCGCAAGUCAGUUGUGAAAUCUCCGAGCUUAACUCGGAAAGGUCAACUGAUACUGCGGGGCUAGAGUGCGGAAGGGGCAACUGGAAUUCUUGGUGUAGCGGUGAAAUGCGUAGAUAUCAAGAGGAACACCUGCGGCGAAGGCGGGUUGCUGGGCCGACACUGACGCUGAGGCGCGAAAGCUAGGGGAGCGAACGGGAUUAGAUACCCCGGUAGUCCUAGCCUUAAACGAUGAAUGCUUGGUGUCUGGGGUUAUAUAGUCCCCGGGUGCCGUCGCUAACGCUUUAAGCAUUCCGCCUGGGGAGUACGGUCGCAAGACUGAAACUCAAAGGAAUUGACGGGGACCCGCACAAGCGGUGGAGCAUGUGGUUUAAUUCGACGCAAC